rnacentral:tRNA from 1 species
GCCCAGGUGGCGAAAUUGGUAGACGCAAGGGACUUAAAAUCCCUCGGUAGAAAUACCGUGCCGGUUCGACUCCGGCCCCGGGCACCA